rnacentral:rRNA from 1 species
AGCGUUGUUCGGAAUUACUGGGCGUAAAGCGUGCGCAGGCGGUUUCUCAAGUCAGGGGUGAAAGCCCGGAGCUCAACUCCGGAACUGCCCUUAAUACUGCCAGUCUAGAGUCCGGAAGAGGUAAGUGGAACUCCUAGUGUAG